rnacentral:rRNA from 1 species
GACGAACGCUGGCGGCGUGCUUAACACAUGCAAGUCGAACGAAGUGGCGAACGGGUGAGUAACGCGUAGGAAACCUACCUAUUAGAGGGGGAUAACUAUUGGAAACGAUAGCUAAUACCGCAUACUAGUAGAUGGACCUGCGUUGUAUUAGCUAGUAGGUAGGGUAAAGGCCUACCUAGGCAACGAUACAUAGCCGACCUGAGAGGGUGAUCGGCCACAUUGGGACUGAGACACGGCCCAGACUCCUACGGGAGGCAGCAGUGGGGAAUCUUCCGCAAUGGACGAAAGUCUGACGGAGCAACGCCGCGUGAGUGAUGACGGCCUUCGGGUUGUAAAGCUCUGUUAAUCGGGACGCGGUACCGGAAUAGAAAGCCACGGCUAACUACGUGCCAGCAGCCGCGGUAAUAC